rnacentral:rRNA from 1 species
UACGUAGGGGGCAAGCGUUGUCCGGAAUCAUUGGGCGUAAAGAGCGUGUAGGCGGCCCGAUAAGUCCGCUGUGAAAGUCCAGGGCUCAACCCUGGAAUGCCGGUGGAUACUGUCGGGCUCGAGUUCGGAAGAGGUGAGUGGAAUGCCUGGUGUAGCGGUGAAAUGCGCAGAUAUCAGGAGGAACACCAAUGGCGAAGGCGGCUUGCUGGGCCUUACCUGACGCUGAGGAGCGAAAGCGUGGGGAGCGAACAGG